rnacentral:rRNA from 1 species
AACAUGGGUACCUACCUUCGAGUGAGGAAUAACCGGCGAGAAAUCGCCGACAAGACCGCAUACGCUUGUUCUUACGAAUAAGCAAAGGUGCUACGCGAGUAGUGCCGCUGGGAGGAUGGGCCUGUGGCCGAUUAGCUAGUUGGGGGGGUAACGGGCCUCCCAAGGCUUCGAUCGGUAGCUGGUCUGAGAGGACGAUCAGCCACACUGGGAUUGAGAACGGCCCAG